UUCUCCCUGCGUGUUCCCAUUUAUUUACGGUGGGAAAUCCUAUUAUACUUGCACUGAAGUUGCAAGCACGGACCACCCCUGGUGUGCCACAACUGCAAACUAUGAUAAAUCUGGUCAAUGGAGAUAUUGUACCAAAACAGAAUAUGGAGGUAAUUCUCCUGGGCAACCUUGUGUAUUCCCAUUUAAGUACAAAGGCUAUAUGUUUUACUCUUGCAUCAAUAAAAAUGAUAAAAGUGGAAGAUUCUGGUGUGCAACAACCAGUAAUUAUGAUAAACAUAAGCUAUGGAACUACUGCGCUGAUACCAGACUAGGUUCAUAUAAACCAAUGUGGCCUGUCAGAAUAUAGUUGGGAUUUCUCAGAUUACCAAAAUCAAAGAAAUUUGGCAUGGUUUGAUUCCAGAGAUGACAAU